rnacentral:rRNA from 1 species
GACGAACGCUGGCGGCAUGCUUAACACAUGCAAGUCGAACGGAAAGGCCCUGCUUUUGUGGGGUGCUCGAGUGGCGAACGGGUGAGUAACACGUGAGUAACCUGCCCUUGACUUUGGGAUAACUUCAGGAAACUGGGGCUAAUACCGGAUAGGAGCUCCUGCUGCAUGGUGGGGGUUGGAAAGUUUCGGCGGUUGGGGAUGGACUCGCGGCUUAUCAGCUUGUUGGUGGGGUAGUGGCUUACCAAGGCUUUGACGGGUAGCCGGCCUGAGAGGGUGACCGGCCACAUUGGGACUGAGAUACGGCCCAGACUCCUACGGGAGGCAGCAGUGGGGAAUAUUGCACAAUGGGCGGAAGCCUGAUGCAGCAACGCCGCGUGCGGGAUGACGGCCUUCGGGUUGUAAACCGCUUUCACCUGUGACGAAGCGUGAGUGACGGUAAUGGGUAAAGAAGCACCGGCUAACUACGUG